rnacentral:rRNA from 1 species
UACGAAGGGAGCUAGCGUUGUUCGGAAUUACUGGGCGUAAAGGGUGCGCAGGCGGGUUUGCAAGUUCGAUGUGAAAGCCCCGGGCUUAACCCGGGAAUGGCAUUGGAUACUGCAGAUCUGGAGGAUCGGAGGGGGGACUGGAAUUCUUGGUGUAGCAGUGAAAUGCGUAGAUAUCAAGAGGAACACCAGUGGCGAAGGCGAGUCCCUGGACGAUACCUGACACUGAGGCACGAAAGCUAGGGGAGCAAACAGG